rnacentral:rRNA from 1 species
CAACAUUCCGAAAGGAAUGCUAAUACCGCAUACGUCCUACGGGAGAAAGCAGGGGACCUUCGGGCCUUGCGCUAAUAGAUGAGCCUAAGUCGGAUUAGCUAGUUGGUGGGGUAAAGGCCUACCAAGGCGACGAUCUGUAGCGGGUCUGAGAGGAUGAUCCGCCACACUGGGACUGAGACACGGCCCAGACUCCUACGGGAGGCAGCAGUGGGGAAUAUUGGACAAUGGGGGGAACCCUGAUCCAGCCAUGCCGCGUGUGUGAAGAAGGCCUUUUGGUUGUAAAGCACUUUAAGCGAGGAGGAGGCUACUAGUAUUAAUACUACUGGAUAGUGGACGUUACUCGCAGAAUAAGCACCGGCUAACUCUGUGCCAGCAGCCGCGGUAAUACAGAGGGUGCGAGCGUUAAUCGGAUUUACUGGGCGUAAAGCGUGCGUAGGCGGCUGAUUAAGUCGGAUGUGAAAUCCCUGAGCUUAACUUAGGAAUUGCAUUCGAUACUGGUCAGCUAGAGUAUGGGAGAGGAUGGUAGAAUUCCAGGUGUAGCGGUGAAAUGCGUAGAGAUCUGGAGGAAUACCGAUGGCGAAGGCAGCCAUCUGGCCUAAUACUGACGCUGAGGUACGAAAGCAUGGGGAGCAAACAGGAUUAGAUACCCUGGUAGUCCAUGCCGUAAACGAUGUCUACUAGCCGUUGG